AGCUCCUGAGACGACUACCUCUGAGAGCAUUACUAUGGAGCCCUUUGAGAUGUUUCCUGAAGGUUCAGGAGGAUCUGGAGAAGACCCUGGUGUAGGUACGUCUGAGCAAGAAAGCAAAGGUAACAUGAUUCAUUGUUCUCCUUCAGGUACUGGUACUCACACAUCUGCUAAUUUCAUUCAUGUAAAGAUUCGUGUAAAGAACUGAUAGACAAGCUCUCAAACAAAUGGCAACAGAGAACUAAAAAAAAUGAUGACAAAAUGGCCAAAGGAAGGGACAUUUGAUGUAGCAUUGUGCGAGGAAAUGGAAACUUUGAUAAAAAA